rnacentral:lncRNA from 1 species
CUUUUCUCUCCUUGCUGCAAUGAGAAGACACAGCAAGAAGACUUCUGUCUGCAAGCAAGGAAGAAGGCUCUCACCAGGAACCGAAUUGGUUAACACCUUUAUCUUGGACUUCCCAGCCUUUAGAACUAAAGACAACUGAAUAAAUUUGGUAGCAGAAUAGGAAGGAACAAAUACAUGAGCAUACUCGGAAUGAGAGAAGACAGCAGCAGUAAUGAAAUUUUUAGCAGCACAUGCCCAUACCGUGGCCCCUUCCUGAUUCCUGUAAUGUACAUGUGGAAUUGACUGUGCAGCUAUGGGCCCUACCUUUGAGGAUGUGCUGUCUUUGGUGCCGCAGAAAUGCAAAAUCAGCAGACACAGAGAAAGCAUGAGUGAUUCAAAUGGACAUGGAAACAAGAACUGGAAAUUGGGCGUCUGGUAUUCUCAUGGAUGGCUUGCAGGACUUCCUUACGGGAUUUGGGUACGAAGGUGCAACACUCAGUUCUACUUUCUCAGAUUCAGAUCACCAUCUCAAACUCGCCACCUUCAAAAUGCAUCGAGAUCCUCACCACUUGUUAUCAUCUCUUUCAG